rfam:Triticum aestivum genome assembly, contig: Triticum_aestivum_CS42_TGACv1_scaffold_222497_3B
CAUGUACUCCCUCCGUCCGGAAAUACUUAUUGGAUAAAUAGAUACAAAUGGAUGUAUUUAGAACUAAAAUACGUCUAGAUUCAUCCAUUCCUCGGACAAGUUUUUCCGGACGGAGGGAGUACUCG